GACGAACGCUGGCGGCGCGCUUAACACAUGCAAGUCGAACGGAAAGGCCCUGCUUUUGUGGGGUGCUCGAGUGGCGAACGGGUGAGUAACACGUGAGUAACCUGCCCUUGACUUUGGGAUAACUUCAGGAAACUGGGGCUAAUACCGGAUAGGAGCUCCUGCUGCAUGGUGGGGGUUGGAAAGUUUCGGCGGUUGGGGAUGGACUCGCGGCUUAUCAGCUUGUUGGUGGGGUAGUGGCUUACCAAGGCUUUGACGGGUAGCCGGCCUGAGAGGGUGACCGGCCACAUUGGGACUGAGAUACGGCCCAGACUCCUACGGGAGGCAGCAGUGGGGAAUAUUGCACAAUGGGCGGAAGCCUGAUGCAGCAACGCCGCGUGCGGGAUGACGGCCUUCGGGUUGUAAACCGCUUUCGCCUGUGACGAAGCGUGAGCGACGGUAAUGGGUAAAGAAGCACCGGCUAACUACGUG
rnacentral:rRNA from 1 species